rnacentral:rRNA from 1 species
UACGGGGGGGGCAAGCGUUGUUCGGAAUUACUGGGCGUAAAGGGCUCGUAGGCGGCCAACUAAGUCAUACGUGAAAUCCCUCGGCUUAACCGGGGAACUGCGUCUGAUACUGGAUGGCUUGAGUUCGGGAGAGGGAUGCGGAAUUCCAGGUGUAGCGGUGAAAUGCGUAGAUAUCUGGAGGAACGCCGGUGGCGAAGGCGGCAUCCUGGACCGAUACUGACGCUGAGGUGCGAAAGCGUGGGGAGCAAACAGG